ensembl:snRNA
GUGUUGUAUGAAAGGAGAGGUUAGCAUUCUCCUUGACAAGAAUGGAAGAGGCCCUCAGGCCUGUGCAACACACAUAGAAUUAGGGCUUUUCCCCCUACUUCGUAGCAUUUAACCAUGGUAUUUU